GGAUCCAGACUUUGAUCAUGGCUCAGGACGAACGCUGGCGGCGUGCUUCAUACAUGCAAGUCGAACGAGAAGCUCACUUCGGUGAGUGGGAAGUGGCGGACGGGUGAGUAAUGUGUAGAGAAUCUGCCCUUGAGUGGGGGACAACAGCUGGAAACGGUUGCUAAUACCCCAUAUGAGAUAUUUUGGAAUAAAUAUCUUGAAAACUCCGGUGCUCAAGGAUGAGUCUGCAUCUGAUUAGCUAGUUGGGGGUGUAAUGGACCACCAAGGCGACGAUCAGUAGCUGGUUUGAGAGGAUGAUCAGCCACAAUGGGACUGAGACACGGCCCAUACUCCUACGGGAGGCAGCAGUAGGGAAUUUUGCGCAAUGGGCGAAAGCCUGACGCAGCAACGCCGCGUGAUUGAUAAAGCCCUUCGGGGUGUAAAGAUCUGUCAGUGGGGAUGAACAAUGACGGUACCCACAGAGGAAGCACCGGCUAACUCCGUGCCAGCAGCCGCGGUAAUACGGAGGGUGCGAGCGUUGUCCGGAAUCAUUGGGCGUAAAGAGUUCGUAGGUGGCCUGUUAAGUCUGGUGUUAAAUGCAGAUGCUCAACAUCUGUUCGGCACUGGAUACUGGCAAGCUUGAAUGCGGUAGAGGUAAAGGGAAUUCCUGGUGUAGCGGUGAAAUGCGUAGAUAUCAGGAGGAACAUCGGUGGCGUAAGCGCUUUACUGGGCCGUAAUUGACACUGAGGAACGAAAGCCAGGGUAGCAAAUGGGAUUAGAUACCCCAGUAGUCCUGGCCGUAAACGAUGGAUACUAGGUGUUGCGGGUAUCGACCCCUGCAGUGCCGAAGCAAACGCGAUAAGUAUCCCGCCUGGGGAGUACGCACGCUA
rnacentral:rRNA from 1 species